AGCGUAUAUUAAAGUUGUUGCAGUUAAAAAGCUCGUAGUUGGACCUUGGACCUGGACAGGCGGUCCGCCUCACGGCGAGUACUGUCUUGCUGGGUCUUUCCUCUUGGUGAUCUGUUGUUUCGGCAGCAGGGAACCAGGACCUUUACUUUGAAAAAAUUAGAGUGUUCAAAGCAGGCUCGACGCCGGAAUAUAUUAGCAUGGAAUAAUAAAAUAGGACGUGCGGUUCUAUUUUGUUGGUUUUUGGAAUCGCCGUAAUGAUUAAUAGGGACAGUCGGGGGCAUUAGUACUCACAUGCUAGAGGUGAAAUUCUUGGAUUUUGUGAAGACUAACUUCUGCGAAAGCAUUUGCCAAGGAUGUUUUCAUUAAUCAAGAACGAAGGUUAGGGUACCGAAAACGAUUAGAUACCGUUGUAGUCUUAACAGUAAACUAUGCCGACUAGGGAUCGGUCGAUGUUAUCUUUUUGACUCGAUCGGCACCUUACGAGAAACCAAAGUCUUUGGGUUCCGGGGGGAGCAUGGUUGCAAAGCUGAAACUUAAAGGAAUUGACG
rnacentral:rRNA from 1 species